rnacentral:lncRNA from 1 species
UGGGCUAUCAGGAAGGACAGGGUGUUUAGCUAUGUUGGCUGUUGUGGAAAAGUCGAAUAAGACAAGGACUGAGAAAUAUCUUUUUGAUCUGGCAAUCAUGUCACCCAAAAGAGAAGGAAUAACUUUGAAACUAUUUUUACAGAUGGAGGAAGGUAGCCUGGGCCCAACUGAACUCACUGUGUAUUCAGAAAAUAACCCACAGUUGGGAAAUUCACAGUGCCAUUGCUUUGAAUCAAAUCCUUACUUCAUACCAGGAUGUACCAUGAUUCUUGGCAACAUGACUGGGUAUUGAUGUCUUGUCUAGCCAAUGAAAUCCACAUAGCAAAGAUGUUAUGAAGACAUGGAAACAUGAAUAUGAAAUAAAAUCAGUAUAGCUAUUUGGAUGAUUAGCUAUCGACACAAGACAGUCCCUGGUAAUUGCCUUUAAUAGUAAGGUAGCACUAGGCCAUGAAAGGUGCUUCAGUGUACCUGCCUCAUUUGUGGCUCCCUUUUGGCCAUGUGACCCUAACUCCCCUGGUCACAAGUG